ensembl:lncRNA
GACAUGCCCUAGCGUGGCUCCAUUUUCACCCGUUGUGCUAAGAAUCUCUCAGUGGUCCUUUCAAUCUGGCAACUUAUUUCCGUCUGUUCUGGAAAACUCUUUGAAUUGUUUCUCUGAUGAUUUCUUUCCUUCCAAUUAUUUGUCUGUUUGGAUAACCUGGCCUCAUCUUCCAAUGAUCUUAUCUUUUCAUUCCUAUUUUUUGUUGCUUUGUGUGUUCUCUCAAUGUUGCCUUCCAACACUCCUAUUGAGUUGUUUGUGGCUGUCAUAUGGUGAUGUCCAAGGGCUGCUUUUUGACAGGGUGCGAGACAUCCUUUUACUUCCCUGCAUGUAUGAACGAUUGUGUGUGGAGAUGUGCUUUGUGACAGAGGGACCUAUCGAACCACAGGGCUAGAUGGCUGGCUCCACAUCUGCUCAGGAUUUCCAAGAAAGGAAAAGAAGUCGACCUACUUUCUGCACACCAGUCGUUUCCUCACACCCCACGAGGCAAGAGUAAUGCAGGAUCACAAAACUGGGAACAGCCGCUCCUGCAUUCCUCCCCCACUGGCUCUAGAAGUCCCAAGAGGAAGGUGUCACAUUUGCUCAUGACACGCUGCUUUGUCCAAUGACACUUUCCCUUCCGGUUCUCCUGCUCCCGGAAGCUGUCUAGAAGGAGCGACCUCUGCUCCUGGCCAGUGUGAGGCCCUGGCUGCCUCCCCUCUCUUCAGGUCACAGUUUCUCCACGCUCCAGUCUACUCCAAACUCAUCCUUUCCAUCUUCCUAUAUACCUCACCGCCCAACUGCUCCAAUCAGGAGGUCUUGGGCUUUGAAAACCUUCAGUAGCUUUAUGGCAAUUUUAUUGAAAGAACUCUUCCAACAUUUACUUGUUUUUCAUCACAGACCCCGUGCCCUGGAAUCCAAGCUGGAUUGUAAGGCCCUGAGGGGAGCUUUAGAUCUUAUUAUUUUUUGCAUUCUUCAUACCGGGCCUGGUGUCUUAGUCCAUUCGGGCUGUGAAAACAAAAAUGCCAUAGAGUGGGGAGCUUAUAAACCACAAUUGCUUCUCACAGUUCUGGAGGCUGGAAGUCUAAGAUGAAGGCGCUGGCAGACUCAGUGUCUGGUGAGGGCUGCUUCCUGGUUCAUAGCUGGCCGUCCCCUCCCUGUGUCCUCACAUGGCAGAAGGACCGAGGAGCUCUGUGGGGCCACUUUUAUAAGGGCCCCACCUCCUAAUACCAUCACCUCAGGGGUUAGGUUUCAACACAUGAAUUUAAGGGGGGGGCACAAACAUUCAGGCCAUAGCACAUAGAGCUUGAUGCCUAGAAGAUAUUUAUUAAAGUUUUUGAAUGACCAAGGGCUCCAAUAACAUGAAUCCACUUACUCCUCUUCUGAUCCUAAACAGUCACCAUGGAACCAAACCCCAGCUCUCAUCCUUCAAGAUAAGUUCUUUCCUGGAGACUCUUCUCGCCUCUGAACGUCCAAAGGAUUUAUCUUAGGUGCUGGGUUGUGAGUCGCUUCUGCACAUGGUCCAGGACAUCAUGGAGGGGUCGGGGGACAGGAGACAGUCUUUUGCCUCCAUGACCCUGGUAUGCUGGAUGCGUCAUCCAAUUUGUUCCUACUUCUCGAGGGCCCUGCUAGUGGGCUCAACAUAGCAAAUGUGGGGGUUGGUAUUUAAUUGUGGACGGACACGCCAGAAACAUCCCAAAUCCUCAGCUUCCUACUUCUCUCUACGCAUCUCCUUCCACCACUGCUCUGCUGAUAGAGCAAAGGAAGAGGCACAAUGAGAGGCCAGCAUCGUGGUGCCCACUUGGGUCUGGGCAGCUGGAGGAUGAAAAGACAACUUUAGGUGCAUGGGCUGGACUCCCUCAUGGGCCAACUGGGAGGCGAUGGUGUGGCGGUUCAAUCCCUUAGAAUCGCACGACGGGAAAGCUCAAGGUGGACUCAGAUCUCAGCUCCCAAAUCUGGAUGUGGGAAGGAGAAGAGAGUGUGCUGUUAACCCCUUGUUGCAAAGAGCCACUGUCCUGUCUAAAUAUAAAGGGCAUGGCGUGAACCCAUCAGAAAGUUAUCGCCACCACUUCUUUCUGAGGAAGGUGGGAGGCGGGGUCUGCUGUGGGCAGAAUUCUCAAGAGUGUGAGCAGCCACAGUUGGGCCCAGAGGAGCAAUACAACAGGGAAACGCCACCCUCCACCCCACAUGACAACACUCUCCAGCCCCUUAAGUGACAAUGGGAAGCGAAUAUGUCUUGUUUCCUUGUUACAUACCCAGCGCAUGGCACAAAGUCCGUCAUAGAUUAGGAACCCAGUAAACAUUUGUUGAGCAAAUAAAUUUGUUGAGCAAAUUCACGCACAAUGAAAUUGCUGAUCUGUGGCUUUAGAGCAAAUCUUUGGGACCAUCGUAAGUAGUUAAUAUGGAACAGAUGCAGCAUGGGAAACUUUGAGACAUAAAUGACCACG